CUGGACGUGAUGCGUAAUAUAACAUCUGACUUACCAUGAAGGUGUUAGUAUUCAUACUGUCUGAUCCAG